CAUUUUGUCCGACAUGCUAACCAUCUUGCCAACUUGCUGCCUUAAUGAUGAUGAUGAUGAUGAUGAUAAUGAUAAUAAUAAUAAUACCAACAACAACAACAAUAGAAAAGAAUAUUGUUAUUAUUGUAACACUAGUAGCUGAAAACUUUAGGGGUUAAUGUAUAGUAUGUGCUUCCAUACUUGUGCUUUACGGAAAAAUGACAGGAAGAGAUAAUUAUAUGAAAUAAAGACCAGUUAACCUCUUGA